AGAGUUUGAUCCUGGCUCAGAGCGAACGCUGGCGGCAGGCCUAACACAUGCAAGUCGAGCGCCCCGCAAGGGGAGCGGCAGACGGGAGAGUAACACGUGGGAACGUACCCUUCAGUUCGGAACAACCCAGGGAAACUUGGGCUAAUACCGGAUACGUCCGUAAGGAGAAAGAUUUAUCGCUGAAGGAUCGGCCCGCGUCUGAUUAGCUUGUUGGUGAGGUAACGGCUCACCAAGGCUACGAUCAGUAGCUGGUCUGAGAGGAUGAUCAGCCUCACUGGGACUGAGACACGGCCCAGACUCCUACGGGAGGCAGCAGUGGGGAAUAUUGGACAAUGGGCGCAAGCCUGAUCCGAGCCAUGCCGCGUGGAUGAUGAAGGCCCUAGGGUUGUAAAGUCC
rnacentral:rRNA from 1 species